rnacentral:rRNA from 1 species
GACGAACGCUGGCGGCGUGCUUAACACAUGCAAGUCGAACGGAAAGGCGCUGCUUUUGCGGGGUGCUCGAGAGGCGAACGGGUGAGUAACACGCGAGUAACCUGCCCCUGUCUUUGGGAUAACUCCAGGAAACAGGGGCUAAUACCGGAUAGGAGCUCCUGCUGCAUGGGGGGGGUUGGAAAGUUUCGGCGGUUGGGGAUGGACUCGCGGCUUAUCAGCUUGUUGGUGGGGUAGUGGCUUACCAAGGUUUUGACGGGUAGCCGGCCUGGGAGGGUGACCGGCCACAUUGGGCCUGCGAGACGGAGCAGACGCCUACGGGAGGCAGCGGUGGAGAGUAUUACGCAGUGGGCGGAAGCCUGAUACAGCAGCGCCGCGUGCGGGAUAACGGCCUUCGGGUUGUGAACCGCUUUCGCCUGUGCCGAAGCGUGAGUGACGGUAAUGGGUAAGGAAGCACCGGCUAACUACGUG